GUAACUCGAAUUUGUAUGGAGUUGGAAAGUUUGCCGCCAGGGGCGCUGUUCCAACUGCAUACAAAAUUGAGUUU
rnacentral:pre_miRNA from 1 species